rnacentral:tRNA from 1 species
AGGUGCAUGGCUUAGUGGUUAGGGUAUAUGAUUCACAGUCAUAAAGCCGUGAGUUUGCUUCCCAGCUGUGUCCC